rnacentral:rRNA from 1 species
UACGUAGGGCGCAAGCGUUGUCCGGAAUUAUUGGGCGUAAAGAGCUCGUAGGCGGCUUGUCACGUCGGGUGUGAAAGCCCGGGGCUUAACCCCGGGUCUGCAUUCGAUACGGGCUAGCUAGAGUGUGGUAGGGGAGAUCGGAAUUCCUGGUGUAGCGGUGAAAUGCGCAGAUAUCAGGAGGAACACCGGUGGCGAAGGCGGUUCUCUGGGCAUUACCUGACGCUGAGGAGCGAAAGUGUGGGGAGCGAACAGG